GCACAUAGCUCAGUUGGUAGAGCAGCUGACUCUUAAUCAGCGGGUCGUAGGUUCGAUCCCUACUGUGCCC
rnacentral:tRNA from 1 species